rnacentral:tRNA from 1 species
GCUUCCUUGGCUCAGUUGGCUAGAGCGCAGGUCUCAUACUUUAUGUGUGAGCGGUGUAUAAUCGUGUAAUCCUGAGGUCGCAAGUUCGAGCCUUGCAGGGAGCA